GCGGGUGUGGCGGAAUUGGCAGACGCGCUAGAUUUAGGUUCUAGUGUCCUUUUGGACGUAUGGGUUCAAGUCCCUUCUCCCGCA
rnacentral:tRNA from 1 species